CGGAACCAGCAGGGGGCACGCUGAGGGCAGGGGGUCUGCCUGUUGUCGAAGCCCUUCCAUGUGGAGCACUUUGUUUCCCCAGAGUGGGCCUCGGAGUACGUGUGCGUGUGGUGUGGUAUCGGCGUGCGGUGCAUGAGCCUGUGGUGUGUGUGUCUGUGGUGUGGAAUGCGUGUGACUGUGUGUGCUGUGUGUGUGGUAUGUAUGCAUCUGUGGUGUGUAGGAGAUCUGCGUGUGUGGUGUGCCUGUGAGGGUGUGUGUGUGUGUCUGUGUAAGCACGUGUGUACGCAUGUGAUGUUCUUGGCUUUGUAAGGAAGGGGCCUUUCCUGAGUUUUUUACCCCGGGCCCGCAGCCGGCAGUCUCGCCGUGUCGGCAUCCGGCCAGCCUCGCCUGAGUGCUUCAGGCCCUGGCACCUGCGCCUUUUGGAUCUUCGACCCGCUUCCCAGGGAAAAAGCAAGACUUUGCCCCGAGAUAGGAAGAUGCCAGCUGCAUUCCUUGCUUCAAAGCAAACCAGCCUUUCCUGAGCUCCACAAUGAGAAGCCCCACCUUUUUCCUGGCCUGAAUGUUUACUCCUUUUCCUCAAGCGUCUAGAGACUGGGGUUGAGCUCUCCUCACUUCAGCCUCUUUCCAGCCGCCUGGGUCAGGGGCAUUCCCAGCUGCGGCCUCCCCGGCCUUCCCAGCUCCCAGAGAUCAGGUGGGACCCGCUGUGCAGGCUCAGGGGGGAUCUGCCAAUGAACUUGCCCCUCAUUUCUUGCCUGCUGCCUCAGAGUCUCCAGGUUAAACCUCCUCAGUCUGCAUGGGAUCAACAGAGCUUUCGUAAAUGCUCUCUACACAGUGUGGUUUGCCACGUGGGAGGGCCCUCCGGGCCACCAGCUGGAAUAUUUCCAGUCAGAUUUCCUCUGGGUGGGGGGUGGGGGGGGACCCAGAAUGAUCAUCCUGCAGUGACCUGUGUCCAUCCUGGGACAAGGGUCUGGGGUUGCGCUGGCUGCCGUGAGGUCCCUCUGUUCUCCCUCCUAGGCAGGGGAUUUUGUCCCACGGUGACUUUCAAGGGAAGAAAAAAGCAGAUUUGGAAUGAAGUCUCCAGGACUCGCUGCCGUUCUGAGGGAUUAUUCUCCUCCUUAAUUACUUCUGAGCCAUAUGCCUUCCCCCGCUCCCGGGCCUGUUUGACGGUAACAGGAGGUGAAUGGCCACAAAGGCAAUGGACCUUUACUCUCACACCGCUAGCGGACGUCCAUAUGCUGCUGGAUCCAUCUGACCUGCUGCCCAAACUCCACAGAUUCGGCACCAUCUCCGGGGGGACACAGUGGACACAGAGCCCGAGGAGGGUCCUGGCCAGUCUACUCUGAGGUGUUACACUAGGAGUGCUAUUUCAUCUUGGAGUUGGGCAAUUUCAAGAAGCAUUUACAAAGCCUCACAAAAAGAAAACUUGAUCUACUUCAGGAGUGGAUUCCAUUCUGAUGAGCUCUUCGGAGAGAUAUGGAAGGGAAAAGUAGGACAUUGUGAAAUCAAACCAACAAUUACAAUGUCUUAUAACUCCAACUUGGUUGGCAAUUAUUGGUUCAAGUCACACUUUCCACAGGGUCAGUGUCUCAGAACAGUGUUCUUCAAAAAUUACACAGCCACUUGUUAAAUAUGCAUAAACCAGAUUUAUUUCCAUCUGCCCCAGUAUGUGUGCCCUCCCCCCCCAAUCAGCUGGCCCUACUCCCUGCUCCUGGCUCUUUCUCUUUCCAUGGCUUUGUUAUUUCUGUGUUUUUGUUUUUGCCAGGGAUGCCCUGCCCCUUAUCUAGUCCAGGGACAUCCUGAGAAGCAUUUAAAUUCACCUUGAGGUCCCCUUUCUCACUGUCAGUAUCCUCUCUUUGUUCAUAUGUGCAAGUUUUGUCUUCCCAAUUACUCGUCAUUGCAUGGGUGGUUCAGUGGUAGAAUUCUCGCCUGCCAAUUACUCGUCAUUGAAUGUGGGCCAGCGGCAACAGUCUUAUCCCAAUUUUAUAGCCCCCAGCAAAGGGUAGUACAAAGGACAGAGCUCCUGAUCAGUGGACUGCAAACCCAGUCAAUUUCCAGAAUCACCUGAGCUGUUCUUAAAAAUAUCUACUAAGUGAAAAUCUCUGGAGGGGAGGUCCAAGAAUCAGCUUUUCACAUUUUUUUUAAAUGUUUAAAUUUUUUUUAAUGUCACAGGUGUUAAGUCUGAUUAUAGGUCAGAUUUGAGAAUGCCCAAUGAUGUGAAAGGACUCUGUGUCAAGUUUUUGGCAGUUCAGUGAUAGAGCUUCUGAGCCUUUGACUUGUUCUAACAAAACCAAAAGGCUUUCUUCCUAAGAGGUGCUCCGUGAGUCCUGACCACUGGAGUCCAUGAAAACAUUUAGCUGCUAUGAUGCUACACGCAUGGAGAUAUUGGCUUUCUCUUCCCCAGAGAUAUUUAUGUCUUUCCUUACUUCGCAUCACAUCCACCUCCAAACUAAACACCACUGGUCUUACUAGCCAGUUGAUUUUGCAUCCAGAUGAAUGGGCUUUGCUUGGCAACUAUCAUUUUCCAUCUCUCCUGCUAUAAAAGAUGGCUUUUCCUUGGCCAACAUACAGGACAAGUUCUCUUCAGCUUCAGUGCUUAGUAAUGGUUUUGUUCAUGACAUGCUUGUCCAUUCUCAGAAGGGACAAUCCCAACCACUGUCAUUACCACUUUACCAUGCUCUCUUAGACAGUGCCCCCCUUAAAUGUGGUGCUGGGCCAUUCAUCUGUGCCAGUACAGCUCAGACUGCAGACUAACCUGUAGACACAUGCAGCCAGCUUUUGCUCAGAGGUUUGCCUGCAGUCUUUCUAAUCUGUGGUUUGGACUCUCCUAUAAGCCCCUCACCUUGGGCCUAGGAUAUUCUUUAAUAUGUUGACAUGAAAAAUUUUCUGAAUUUGAAGCCAUCAAAUUUCACUUCUCAUGUGCUAUCCAUUUCUUGUCUUAUAGCUUACCGUAAGGACAUAAUAUCAAUAUUAAUAAAACCAUUUAUUGAGAACCUAAUAUGUGUGAGACAAUGUACUAGGUAGGUUCUGGGACUGCAAAGAUUCAUAAGAUAAGGUUCUUGCUCGAGAGAUGACCACACUCUGAUGAGAAAUAAAGGAUUCCAUUCAUAAAAAAGCAAUUUACAAAGACACACAGCAGAUAUCAAGCCUAAGAUAAAUGGCUCAGGCACUAACCACACUUAGGAUUAGAAGGAGGACUUGAUUAUGCAGUGCUUGAAAGCCUGGGGGCAGGGAGGGAACUUGCUGUAUAUAACAUGCAGGCUGGCAUACAGCAGGUACUCAGUAAAUGCCUGCCAAACUAAUAAAUGAAUGACCAGCUGGAUGGUGGUAAGAUAGGAAGAGGGCCUUAGAAUAUAGGUGGCCCAUAUUGAGGGGAAGGACACACACACACACACACACACACACACACACACACAUACACCCCACAGCUGCUUUAUCAAUGAAGCAUGAUCCUGUUUCAUCAGGGAGUAACAUGAGUGAGAAAUUUAGGAAAAUAUAGCUCUGUUAAGGUCAAUCUUUUUAUUGUUGGGAAUCGUUAACUGGGCAAUAACUAAAUUAAUAACACUAAAUAUUGUUUAUUUAGUAAGUAAAUUAUCAGUAAGCAAAUUAUUAGUAAUUUAAGAAGUAAAUUCUUUUCACUAGAUGAACUCUCACUGUGUAAAUUCAUUGGUUCGCCAUCUCACAGGGACUCAAAGGACAGGCCUUUGUAUAGAUGCCUUUGCUGAGCUACGUUUGGUCACUACCUGAUUUACUUUAUAAGCAACUCAUUUCUAUUCCACCUUGCCCCAAAAC
rnacentral:lncRNA from 1 species